UCACCAAUGAAGGAGUCGUCAGUCACAGAUGUAGGAGUAGGAGCUUCCCCCUCUCUAUUUGAUAUCCUAGCGAAUGCAUGUGCUCGAGCCAGCUUUGCUUCGCCCUUCUCUUAUCUCAUGGCUGGAUUUUCGCUAGCAGCUGGAAGCUAUACCCCUCGAAAGUUCACGUAUCUCCCUGCACGAUUCAAGCCUCCAUCGUUGAUCUAUCAUCUAUGACUUCGCUGCAUCUUCCUCACAUGCCUUUCCUUCAGCCACCGAUGCACAUCCCUCUUCUAGCUCUACGAUUCGUCCUUCACCUAGCCUUUUGCGUGAGAUGUACGCAUAUCUUCCCCAUUUUCUGUGGUUGUUUGAGCUACUACUAGAUUAAAAAAUCUAGCUACUCAAGGUGCUUUCCAGUUGUUUGAUUCGAAAGCUUCAAGAUCUUGCUGGAUUCUCUAUGGUUUAUUUGCUUUCCUUGGUAUCUUCAUCCUUAGGCAGGUUACCAAAUAAAUAAGAGCUCUCUAAAACUCCAAACUUCAAUAAGCAAGUUGAAGACCUGACAUUAAGGUUGCUUAUUGAAAACAAGUCCAAUGGGGAAUUUGGGUAUCUUGCUUACACUCUUGAUUGAAGGAGGCAUCUUUGGAGUUAAUAUAUUGAUUAUCAAGGGGCUUUCAUGUAGGAUUUAUUCUCUAUGGGUUGUGAAAGUCCAAAGCAAGCAGAGACCAGAAUGUUGUAAAAGCCUGAGCACAUGAAUAGGCGAUGAAGAAGAACUCUGCUGAUAUUGAAAUGACUUUGGGGAAAGGAAUUUUCUGAUAGAGAGCAUGUUUAGACUUGAAGUCCAGAUUAGAACAUAAGAAAUUGAUUUGAUAGCCAAUAGGUGCAUUGGUGCUCAUGAUAGUGGGAGAGAAUUUGUGACCAACUUGGUUGGAAGUGCAAUUCCUGGUUCUAAAAGCCCAAGAGGUAAGGCAAGAAUGACAACAUCUCAGAUAAAAGGUGGCUAUGAUUUACAUACGACCUGAUACUAUGAGCUAGCUGCCUUGGGAGGUUUUAGUAAACUUUCUGAUUUUCUAAUUUUUGGGUUUGAUGGGGUCGUUGUGUGCUUGUCCUGAUCAUUGACUCUCAUGUUUAAUGAAUUCAACUAACAAAAGAUGGCUUCACUUAGCCUCUUCUACUGAAUGUCCUUUAUUAAGGGAGCAACACGAAUCUGAGCUGCAUUUGUUUAGAGACCGGCAAGUGAUCCAGCCUGUUUGAGAGAUGAGGCUCAACAAUGGAUUUUGGAUUAGGCUCCUAAUGUUACUAUGGCUGAACUUUAUUUAUAUUUGGAGUAGUAGUUGUUAAAUCAAUUAGUCAAAUGUAAGUUAUUGGAGUAAUUUUAAAUUGGACAUUUUCUUGGGAUCUCAUGACUGUUACUCUUUGGGAUGGUGCUUAAGUUGUUACUCUUUGACAUUGUUAA